AUGAACGCUAGCGGCAGGCUUAACACAUGCAAGUCGAGGGGUAUAGUAGCAAUACUAGAGACCGGCGCACGGGUGCGUAACGCGUAUGCAAUCUACCUUUUACAGAGGGAUAGCCCAGAGAAAUUUGGAUUAAUACCUCAUAGUAUAGCUGAACCGCAUGGUUCUACUAUUAAAGUCACAACGGUAAAAGAUGAGCAUGCGUCCCAUUAGCUAGUUGGUAAGGUAACGGCUUACCAAGGCAACGAUGGGUAGGGGUCCUGAGAGGGAGAUCCCCCACACUGGUACUGAGACACGGACCAGACUCCUACGGGAGGCAGCAGUGAGGAAUAUUGGACAAUGGGCGCAAGCCUGAUCCAGCCAUGCCGCGUGCAGGAUGAAGCAUCUAUGGUGUGUAAACUGCUUUUGUACGAGAAGAAACAUCCCGACGUGUCGGGACUUGACGGUAUCGUAAGAAUAAGGAUCGGCUAACUCCGU
rnacentral:rRNA from 1 species